ACUGGGCCAAAUACUUCCAAACUUUAACUGAAUGUUCCUUAGGGUAUCUAGUUUGUAAAUUGUAUCUGAAGUUAUGAUCUAUCAACAAACAUGGUCGCCAUUGCUAAAAAAUUGGGUAAUAUUGUUUAUCAGGUCAAGAUCUAUCUGCCCUGAAAUUUUCAGAUGAAUCAGACAACCUGUUGUUGGGUUGCUGCCCCUGAAUUGAUAAUUUUAAGGAAAUUUUGCUGUUUUUGGUUUAUUAUCUUGAAUAUAAUUAUAGAUAGAAAUAAACUGUAAACAGCAAUAAUGUUCAGCAAAGUAAGAUCUUCAAUUAAGUCAAAUUGACCAAAAUUGUCAAUUGACCCCUUAAGGAGUUAUUGCCCUUUAAAGACUUUUUAUGCCCCACCUACGAUAGUAGAGGGGCAUUAUGUUUUCUGGUCUGUGCGUCCGUUCGUUCGUUCGUCCGUCCGUCUGUUCGUUCGUUCGUUCGUUCGUCCGUCUGUCCCGCUUCAGGUUAAAGUUUUUGGUCAAGGUAGUUUUUGAUGAAGUUGAAGUCCAAUCAACUUGAAACUUAGUACACAUGUUCCUUAUGAUAUGAUCUUUCUAAUUUAAAUGCCAAAUUAGAGUUUUGACCCCAAUUUUACGGUUCACUGAACAUAGAAAAUGAUAGUGCAAAUUUCAGGUUAAAGUUUUUGGCUUCAGGUUAAAGUUUUUGGUCAAAGUAGUUUUUGAUGAAGUUGAAGUCCAAUCAACUUGAAACUUAGUAUACAUGUGCCCUAUGAUAUGAUCUUCCUAAUUUAAAUGCCAAAUUAGAGUUUAGACCCCAAUUUUACGGUUCACUGAACAUAGAAAAUGAUAGUGCAAAUUUCAGGUUAAAGUUUUUGGUCAAGGUAGUUUUUGAUGAAGUUGAAGUCCAAUCAACUUGAAACUUAGUAUACAUGUGCCCUAUGAUAUGAUCUUUCUAAUUUAAAUGCCAAAUUAGAGUUUUGACUCCAAUUUUACGGUUCACUG
rnacentral:lncRNA from 1 species